GGAUUAGAUACCCUGGUAGUCCACGCCGUAAACGAUGUCGGCUAGACGUCGGGCAGCUUGCUGUUCGGUGUCGCAGCAAACGCAUUAAGCCGACCGCCUGGGGAGUACGGCCGCAAGGUUAAAACUCAAAGGAAUUGACGGGGGCCCGCACAAGCGGUGGAGCAUGUGGUUUAAUUCGAUGCAACGCGCAGAACCUUACCAGCUCUUGACAUGUCCAUUUGGGAUCUUGGAGACAGGAUCUUUCGGUUCGGCCGGGUGGAACACAGGUGCUGCAUGGCUGUCGUCAGCUCGUGCCG
rnacentral:rRNA from 1 species